UGAAGUCUGCAGAGUGAGAGUGAGA
rnacentral:piRNA from 1 species